CUUCCACGCUCCAGCUCUAAAUGUUGGCUGUGACACACUCGUCCUCGAUUACGGCACUGAAAGAGACUCUUUGUUAGAGUAAAUCCUAUUGAAAUAGGUCACACGCGUGCACACACACACACACACACUUCUCCACCCGCAAAUUAUAUCGAAAGAGUCUGAUAAAGUGGUCGUUCUUUUCGAAAUCUCACCUACGCUCCUGGUGUCAAGAAAGGCACCACGUAUGUGUGCCAAAAUAUCGGAGAUGAGUUCGGUGCACACUGGAGAUUUAUUUCUGCGUCUCGAUGGUCUGAUCAAGAUUGCGCUGAUUAGUGUCUCUGUAAAGUAAUAUCACGUAUAUAUUCUUCAUUUCUAUCACUGUAAAGUAACGUCACGUAUAUAUUCUUCAUUUCUAUCACUGUAAAGUAACGUCACGUAUAUAUUCUUCAUUUAC
ensembl:lncRNA